GAAACGGUCGCAAGUUGCUCUUUCCCGUGCCGUUGGGAACACGGAACGGUCACUAAACGAACUGUUGCAAUUCGAGAACUGCCUGGAGUUUCCUCCCUGCCUUUCUUUUCCCCUUGGGAUGGCAAUGUAAUCUCAUUUUUGUUUUUCCUUUUUGUGUUGUUUCCUUCCGUUCCGUUGCUGCCUGGCCAUCGGCCCCUCCCUUGGGCCCCCCCUCCUCAACUUACAGGAUCUAGAGCUCUCCUUGAAGUGCCGCGCUCCCGAAGUUACCCAGCACAUUUUCCAAGCCUACGAAACCAUCCUGAAAAACUGAGGCCGCCCGGUCAUCCUUCCCCCAGAGCAGCGGCAGCGGAAACUCAACGGGGACCAAGUUGUGACAAACAAAAAACACCAAAUUCCACCCCUCCAAAACAACCCCCUUCCAUUUUUACCCCACCCCACUCUGUUUGGAAGACCAAUAUUUUGGGGGAUCAGACUGGCACAUGGGCAAGCUUUUGCGAGCGGCUGGAACGGAGUCCCCUGCGGAAGUCGGAAAACGGAGCAGCAGGGGUGGGGCGAAGAUCAGGCUCCCUAUUUUUUGUGUGCGCGUGUGUGUGUAUGCGUGCAUGUGUGCGUGUGUGUGUGUGUGUCAAAGCCUGCCGUGUUCCUCUGCUGAGGCCACCCGUGUGUCCUUGAGGCGCUUUGCGUGUUGAAAACACAGGCUGCACGAGCGCCGUGUUGCAGCUGCAGCUGGGAAACGUUUCCCGGCAUCCUUCAGCAUCUCUUCAUGCUGGUCUCGCUAUUCUCCCACCUACAUCAAUAAAUAAAAUCAAUGAUGACCACUUCUAGAGCAAGGAAAAUCGUUUCUGUUUUAUUACUGGGCGUGAAAGGCCACUUGGCUGUAGAUCACAUGGGGUGUCGAACUUGAGGCCCGCGGGCUGGAUCCAGCCAGUAGAGUGCUUAGAUCUAGCCCGCCGGGCCACCCUGGAAACAGCGAAGGACCAGCCCAUGGUGCCUCUUCCAGUGAAAACGGAGCUUGGGACAGUUGUG
rnacentral:lncRNA from 1 species